rnacentral:lncRNA from 1 species
UUGAUUUUAUAAAACACAGCAUUAAAUCUCCUUGAUUAUCUGGUGGCGUGUACUCCCUGAAGUGGUGUGCAAUUGUUCCUGCAACCCUCUGAUCCAGUCUUGUUCUUGCUGAGAGUUGUUUUGGUGGCCAGGAGUGUAUCAAAGAUGUGGCUGAAAGAAGGAGGUGAGUGCAGUAAGGAGGAGACCUGGGGUUCCGCCCUACCCUGCAGGGAAAUCCAAAAGGCCUGCAUUGCUCUAGAGUCUGCACGGACCUGAAGCUGCUUAAACCUUCUCUGAGCUCCAGCUGCUGCCUGGGACCCAGGGGGGCCUGGUGUGUGCCGGGCUGUGCGAGCUGCCCACUGCGUCCACUAGAUGGCGGGCUGGCCGCGCAGGUGAAUGGCCGCGCCUCCCUGUGAGCCAUUCUAGCUUUUAAGGCUCACUUGCCAGUGGCUGGCGUUAAGGCACCUCUUGGAGAAGACCCGGGCCCAGACAGGUGAAGUGACAUACCCGUUAUCCUUUACUACCUAAGUGAUAUUGGCUGUUAUACUCGACAUAUCCAAACUCUCCUUUGAUCAUUUGGUCUCUGUUUUAGAGGUAUCUUUUGAAAGCCUGGUGAAAGCUAUAAGACCCUCUCCUUGGGAAAGUUCGAAAAUAAUUUCAGGAGCUUCAAGAACACUCCAGAAAUAGACCCAGAACCUGUCUGACAUGUCCAUAGACUACAAAUUCCAUUUGGAGUUUAUUUUUAACUCCUAACUUUCUGUUCCUGAAAUGGAUCUAACCAUGUUCACUCUGAAAUUUUUUAAAAUUGAGCACCUACUAUGUUCUAGGCACUGUUCUGGGUGCCAGAGAUAUUUGUCUUUGGGGAGAUUUAGUUCUAGAGAGGGAAAGCAAGUAAUAAAAAUGGACAAAAUUAGUGUUGUCAGCAUUAACACUGUUCUCUAAAUAUUUCCAGUUCUCCUUCCCUUUCUGGUCCAUGGUAGGAUCUUACUUCCAGCUCCUCAUAUGGUUGGGUGAAACCAGGUGACCAGUUCUGACUAAUGAAUCAUGAGAAGCCAUGUGUUACUUGGGCAUGAGCAUCUAAUUGCUGUCGCGAGGCCCUCCAGAACUUUCCCUCAUACCUGACAUGGAAACAGGAAAUAUUUAAGAAGGGGUUCAUUUAAUCAGCCCAGGUCCCUGAGACCUAGCAUGAGUGAGAAAUAUUAGAUGUUCCUCCACUUACAAAGGAGGAACCCUCCUCUCACAAAUUGAAAGUACCAUAAAUUGAAAAUGCAUUUAAUCUACCUGACCCACCAAACAUCACAGCUUAACAACAAUAGCACAUCAUGAUGUCAAAUGUUUUCCUAUGUGACUGGGAGCUAUGGCUCACUGCCACUGCCCAGCAUCAUAAAAGAGUGUUGAACCAACUAUCAUGAGGCCUGGGAAAAGAUCAACAUUUGAAGUACAGUUUGUACUGAAUGCUUGUCACUUUUGUACUAGGCAAAAGUCAAAGACAUUGUAAGUUGGGGACCAUCUUUGCUUUUUAAAGUCACUGAGAUUUUUGGGAGAUGUUUGUUACUGUAGCAUAACCUGGCCUGUUCUGACUGAUAAGAUAAUAAAUAAAUAAUAGAACAUGAUUAUAAAGAUUGCUAGAAGGAGAUCAAAGCAGCAGAAAAAAGACACAGUUGAGGAGGAUAAAUGGUCCUGGAAGUGUGAGGAAGUGGAUGGAUGGGGAGGAAGAUGGAACCUUUUAAACAGAGCCAUUAAGGUAGCUUCACUGAGAAAGUGAUCCCUGAAAAGAAAAUGAGCUCUGCAGGGAUCUGGGGCAAAGAGCGUCCCAGCCAGGGCGAGAGCCAGGGCAAAGGUCGGAUGUUUCUGAUGUGUCCAGAAAACAGCCAAGAGGUUGGUGUGGCUGGAGCAGAUGAGGGCUGAGGUCAGAGAAGUAAAGGGGCCAUUUCUUGUGUAGCCUCGUGGCCACAUAAGGACAUCGUUGUCAUGUUCUCUGAGUGACAUGGGGGGACCCAUGGUGGGGCUUCGAGCCCAAACAUGACUUGAUAUGACUGACAUUUUUGAAGGACCCCCGUGGCACCUGAUUGAGACUAGGCGUGGUGGGGGGAGCAGCGUGGGAGUGGGGAGCCGAGGGACAGUUACCGUGCUGGGCGGAGGUGGGCUGGAGGCUGUUGGAUGUACGACUGGAGUUGGGAGAAUAUGAAUUUGGGAGUCACUGGUGGAAAGAAGGUAGCAAAAGUUCAACGUUUUAAAAACACUGUUGGUUAUAAAAAAGAACAUUGCAGUGCAGCGUUAUACACAGCUGGACCCUUAGGACUAGAGAUGAAUAUUGUGGAAAGCGAUGCGGUUACCCCUGUGAGGAACUCUGAUGGUGUCAGGGAGCCACCGUGUUCCCUUUGCUUUAGGAAAAUCAAGGACAUUCAUUGUCUUUUCUAUCAUGCAAUGAUCCCUCUGGGCUAAGAUUUUUUGAGCUAAAGCCUUAGAACAGUGGUUUUCCCCAAGAAAUGGACACAUUUCCUAUUUCCUGGAAAGAUAAAUUGUGAAAAAAAUUCUGUGUCCCUUUUCUCUUCAGGUGCCAAGGAGCUCAGAUACCAAUCGGAAACUAUAAUACCUUUGUUUUUAUUUUCCUUCAUUCCAACUUCCACUUUCAACUCUUGAUUUUAGUAUUUCGAUGUUUUAUUUAUUUAUUUAUUUAUUUUGGAGACAGGUCUUGCUAUGUUGCAUAGGCUGUCCUUGAACUGGACUCAAGAGAUCCUCCUCCCUCAGCCUUCUGAGUUAACUGGGACCUCAGGUGCACAUCACUGUGUUAGUUUACCUAGUAUGUUCUUGCUGUAAAUUCUCUCAAAUUCCAUGUGGAAGGAGGCAGGUAUACUGGGGAAAAAAAGAAUCAGAACUGAACAAAGUUACUUUUUAAUGACAAUACAACUCAUUUGUAAGUAAAAAGAUAUUGAAAAAUGGUCUCUAAAGUAAUUUUCUCUAGUCAGUAUCCUACUCCAGCUGACUUUCAUUAUGAAAUUGAAGAUGGGUCCCUCAAGGAAAAAUAAUUCUAGGCCUGAAAAAUUAUAUUAAAAAAAUCACACUUUAAAAUUGCAGCAUAUAUGAAAAUUCACAUAUUUUAAAGGAACUAAGCAGCCCAGCAUAAGAUACAGAGAAUAAUAUGCAAAAGAAGUCACAAAACACAAAUGUAAAAUAAACUAUGUGGCAUUGUCUUUAUGUCCUGGAGCGAUGAUUUAAAGCUCAGAAAAAGGAGGUGCAUUUUCCUGUUUGGACAGGCUGCUCUUUGAGUUUCGGUGGCUCACCUUUUUCUGGAAUCCUCUGGAGCCAAUCUCUAAGACCCCACGAAGCCUUCUUGACUUUACCACAUCCCCUUCAGCCGCUGUUUUAUUAAUCUGUCAAUAUUGGAUGUUCAAAUCAAUUCCUUGUUUAAACUUCAAUUGAUUUAAAGAAGGAAGCGGUGUAAAUAAUACAUAGCAUAUGUAAAUUCAUGGAUCUUCUGUUUUCCUAAUGCACAUUCAAAUCAAUUCAUAAGCCUUAAAAUAAAAAGUGGUGCGGUGUGUUCCCCUGAAAUGAUCUAUUUCACCCCAUGCUGAUCACACAGCGGGGUAGGGAGAGGCAGGCUCUGUCCUGGAGGGUAAAUGUACCCAGUCCUUGGAAGUAGCCAGUGGACCUUCAAACCAACUAAAUUAACUCGGCUGAUGAACUAGAUGGACUGAGAGGCGGGUCCAGCAUGUUCUCCAUGUAAGUCAGCAGAGAGUGGAGCACCCCCCUGCCCCACCCCAGUUUGGGGUUGGGGACAUCUUGCUGCAAUGUGGUCUCUGUUAGCAUCUAGCUCACCUCUGAUUCCUGUUUGUCAUGGUGCUGGCCCAUUUUGACAAGCUGUAGAAAUGAUGGGGGGUAUUUGGUCUCCAGUAGUGAAUCUUAAACUUGCCAUUUAUAUAUUUUUUGGAACCAGGAAUUGAACUCAGGGGUACUUCACCACUGAGCCACAUCCCAGCUCCUCCCCC